CCUGACGCAGCAACGCCGCGUGAGUGAUGAAGGCCUUCGGGUUGUAAAGCUCUGUGGGGAGAGACGAAUAAGUGCGGGCUAAUACUCCGCAUGAUGACGGUAUCUCCUUAGCAAGCACCGGCUAACUCUGUGCCAGCAGCCGCGGUAAGACAGAGGGUGCAAACGUUGUUCGGAAUUACUGGGCGUAAAGCGAGUGUAGGCGGUCUGGUAAGUCGGAUGUGAAAGCCCCGGGCUCAACCCGGGAAGUGCACUCGAUACUACCAAGCUAGAGUAUCGGAGAGGUUGGUGGAAUUCUCGGUGUAGAGGUGAAAUUCGUAGAUAUCGAGAGGAACAUCGGUGGCGAAGGCGGCCAACUGGACGAAUACUGACGCUGAGACUCGAAAGCGUGGGGAGCAAACAGGAUUAGAUACCCUGGUAGUCCACGCCGUAAACGAUGGGUGCUAGGUGUCGCGGGCUUUGAUUCCUGCGGUGCCGUAGCUAACGCGUUAAGCACCCCGCCUGGGAAGUACGGCCGCAAGGCUAAAACUCAAAGGAAUUGACGG
rnacentral:rRNA from 1 species